rnacentral:rRNA from 1 species
GGCAUGCAGUCGGACGGGAUUUACACCUUCGGGUGUAAUGAGAGUGGCAGACGGGUGAGUAACGCGUAGAUAUCUACCUUAUAGUAAGGAAUAGCUCAUCGAAAGGUGGGGUAAUACCAUAUAGUUCCCUCCGGGGUAAAGGCUUCGGCCGCUAUAAGAGGAGUCUGCGUCCUAUCAGGUUGUUGGUGGGGUAAUGGCCUACCAAGCCUAUGACGGGUAGCCGGUGUGAGAGCACGACCGGCCACAAGGUCACUGAGACACGGGACCUACAUCUACGGAUGGCAGCAACCGGGAAUUUUGCGCAAUGGGCGAAAGCCUGACGCAGCGACACCGCGUGUGGGAAGAAGUUCUUCGGAAUGUAAACUACUGUGGCAGGGGAAGAAAUUUUGACUGUACCCUGCUAUAAAGCACCUGCUAACUACGUGCCAUAAGCCUCGGUAAUACCUACGGUGCAAGCGUUAUCCGGAUUUACUGGGCGUAAAGAGUUCCGUCGGCGUCUUUGUAAGUUGCUUGUUUAAAGCCUAAGGCUCAACUCUAGAUCAG